GUUAAACUUCGUUCUGAUGGCACUCUAGAUAGAUAUAAAGCUCGAUUAGUUGCUCUUGGUAACAAGCAGGAGUAUGGGGUGGACUACGAGGAGACUUUUGCUCUCGUAGCAAAAAUGACUACAGUGCGCACUGUUAUUGCCAUUGCUGCUUCUCAAGGUUGGCCUCUUCAUCAAAUGGACCUAAAAAAUGCUUUUCUCCAUGGAGAUCUUAAAGAGGACAUUUAUAUGGUACCUCCACCUAGUUUGUUUUCCUCAUCUACAUCAAAUGUGUGUAAGUUAAAAAGAUCUUUG
rnacentral:misc_RNA from 1 species